rnacentral:rRNA from 1 species
CCAGGUUGACCUCGGAUCAGGUAGGGAUACCCGCUGA